UACGGGGGGUGCGAGCGUUGUCCGGAAUCACUGGGCGUAAAGGGCGCGUAGGCGGCCUGAUAAGUAGGGGGUGAAAUCCUGCGGCUUAACCGCAGGGCUGCCUUCUAAACUGUCAGGCUAGAGCACGGUAGAGGCAGAUGGAAUUCCCGGUGUAGCGGUGGAAUGCGUAGAGAUCGGGAAGAACAUCAGUGGCGAAGGCGGUCUGCUGGGCCGUUGCUGACGCUGAGGCGCGACAGCGUGGGGAGCGAACAGG
rnacentral:rRNA from 1 species